UCUAUCACUAACUACACUUACUGUCCAAUGAACCCAACCAAUAAACAAUAUCUGUUUAACAUUACAACUACUAAUAAAGCUGGGAAUGGAUCUACUAGUAACAUAACUGUUGGAUUUCAAUCAACAAUAGAUGUAGAGUUAUAUGUAACUGAUAAGGAAAGAGGGAAUGUAAAUUGGACUUUUCAUUUUAUUGUAUCUGUUCAUCAGUUUUGUACUAAUGUACCACCACUAAUAAACAUUACAUUGAAAGGAUGUAC